UUCAUUUCAGAUCCAUUAUUUAGAGCUAGUAGAAGUUGGUUUAAGAUAUUUCAUUUUCAAUUAUGCAUGCAACUUUCAUUUCUUCUAAACUAUAAUAAAUCAAAUAUAUACAUAAAUAUAUUAAGUUAGAAGCUAAAUCAUACACUUUCUGUGUCACAUAAGGAGAAUCUUUCUCUUGUAACAAACUGUGACAAAGUUUAUGUGGUGGUUGGUUUGAAUCAGUAAGAUUGUGGAAGAAAUUAUUGUUUUUGAUACCUUGUAGUAGUGAUUUGUGGCAUUGAAAUUUGAGAUCUAGCUUUUUUGACUUAGUUGUUGUGAUUAUGGAGACCCUUGUUGUUGUUGAGCAGCAUAAGAACCAAGACCAUGCACCUUCCAGAGACUUUAUAGGGAUAAAUUGCAGAACUUUUGAGUCUGGUUAUGGUGUUUUACCAACUCCUUUGAGAUCUCAGAGUUUCAAUGAAAACCCACAUAAGAAAACUAGUCAUAGGAGCAACUCAAUUCCAAUUAAUGGAAAAGGUUGUAGAAAAGAUUUAACUUUUGAUGAAGAUUUGAGUGGUGGAAGCUUUUUCCCAACUCCUUUGAAAUAUGAAAGUUUCAAUGGAAACCCUGAUAGGAAAACUACUCCUAAGAGCAACCCAAUACCAAUUAAUGGAAAAGCUUGUAGAAAAGAGAUAGCUUUUGAUGAAGAUUUAAGCAGUGGAAGUUUUUUGGGUACUCCUAUGAAAUCUAGGAGUUUCAAUGAAAACCCUGAUAGGAAAACCACUCCUAAGAGCAACCCAAUUCCUAUUAAUGGAAAAGCUUGUAGAAAAGAGAUAACUUUUGAUGAAGAUUUAAGUGGUGGAAGCUUUUUGUUAUCUGAGUUAUGGGCUGGACCUACAUACUCAAAUUCACCACCACCUAGUUCAUUGCCAAUUCCCAAGUUUACUGUGAGACCGAAGAGGACUGUGUCUCUUGAUCUUCCUGGUUCCUCGCCUGAGAUUGAAUUGCGUAUCAUGGCUAAGUCUGCGCCUUCUUCACCGAAUAGGGAACGUUUGUGUUUCACAAGUGACCUGUUUGAUAAUGCUGAUUCUGCUACCAAGACCCUGCGUCGGAUUCUCAAUCUUAACCUCGAGGAUGAGUGAAAUAAAAGGAGCGAUGUAAUCCUGUAAAUAAGUGUUUGCAAUGAAACUGGGUCAGUUAGUAUUAGGUGUGUAUAAAGGUUCAAUAAAUUUGUAGUGUGAGUUGGUCUUGAGUGCUUGUGUAGCUUUUGGCUGUGACGGUGUUGCACUUGAUAAUCUUGGCUUUAGUGGGUCAACAAUCUCAUGAUUUGGGAAAUGGAUCAGUUUUGGCAGUGGAGAGGGUUACUUGGUGUGUGCCAGAGGAAUAUGUUGAAAACAGACUUUGUAAUAGGUUUUGAAACUUGAUUGAUGCUUCCAUGUAAAUGAUCAGAAGUAGAAUGAUGAUAACAGGUAGGAGUGGCAUGGAAAAGACUUUGGUUGGCUGCGUUUAUUGGGCCUGAAGAAUGUUACAUACAAAUUGAAUCCCGACUUUAUGAUAUGUAGUUACAACUUAUCAGCAGUUUCUUAUCAUAUAAUGGUUAACCUUUCUUUACUCUUAACAUAGGAUUUAUGCCUCUUACUCUCGAUACUAUGCACAUACAGUAGAAUCUUUCCCUUACAAAAUCCCUUAAGUCUCUCCUUUUCUUUCUAAGCUUUUUAGGACUUUCUCCUUACCAUCAUCUUUAAUCAUUCUCACUUCUAUCCUGAUAUGAAGUUUGCUAGUUAAUAGCUACUUUAUCAGUCUUUCAGCUCUUUCAACCAUCUUUCUUUCUCUCUGUUAGUAUUAAGUUCUUAGCUACCCUCAGCGAGGGUUUUGUUUUCCCCUUAACUAUCUUUUCUGUUUUUUUCAAUGAAAAGUUAGAAGGGAUUUGUAGCAGUCUUUUGCUGCAUUGUCUACUUUUUUCUAGGAUUAAUCAAUGCCGUUCCACCAGCUAGUAAACCAGCUGAUAGAUUUCCUUCUGGUUCUGAGUAAUGCUUGUUUCUUUAGUUCUAAUCCUCACCUAUCCUAGCUUCCAUUUCCAUGGAGAGUGUUGACCAUGCUAUGCCAAAAUUUAAGGAAGGCAAAACUUUACCGAUGCCGUUUCAGCUAUGGAUCAUGAGAUGUAGUCAGUUGCAAAUCAGUUUCCGCCGUAAUGUCUUCUGUGACUUGUAACUUUGUUUCUUUUUUUUCCUGUUUCAGUAACUUGUGUAUUUUGUUUGGUCUGCUGAAAUAAAAUGUUAGUGACUAUUAUCUGUGCGACAGUAUGUAGUGUUUGUUGAAAACUAAGUAAUGAUUGGGUAUAUUUUAAUGAACUUGCAUCUGAUGUUGUUAGUUAAGCUUAGUUAAUUAAAAUGUAGUGGUCCUAAUCCAAUUGUUGAUGGAACUUGUCCUAAUCCAGAAUUUAGCCGGGAGGUAAAUGAAUUCUAACCAAGAAUUGUUCCA